GGGAGCGUGGCGCAGCGGUUUAGCGUAUCCGCCUCCGAAGCGGAAGGUCGCCGGUUCGAACCCGGCCGUUCUCG